rnacentral:rRNA from 1 species
GAUGAACGCUGGCGGCGUGCUUAAUACAUGCCAGUCGAGCGAACAGACGAGGAGUUUGUUCCUCUGUCGUUAGCGGCGGGGGGGUGAGUAACACGUGUAAACCCUACUUCUCAGACUGGUAAAACUUCGGGAAUCCGGAUCUAAUACCGGAUAAUAUUUCUAACCGCAGGGUUUAAUAGUAAAAGACGGUUUUGCUGUUACUUCUGGAUGCUUCCGCGCUGCAUUAGCUAGUUGGUCAGGUCACGGCUUACCCAGGCAACGAUGCGUAGCCGACCGGCGAGGGUGAUAGGCCGCACGGGAACUGAGACACGGUCAAGACGCCUACGGGAGGCAGCAGUAGGGAACCGGACGCAAUGGGCGAAAGCAUGGCGGAGCAGCGCCGCGUGAGUGAUGAAGGUCUUCGGAUCGGAAAACUGGGUUAUGAGGGAAGAACAACUGUGUAAGUAAAUGUGCCCGUCUUGACGGUACCUAAAGAGAAAGCCACGGCUAACUACGUG